rnacentral:rRNA from 1 species
CCUACGGGCGGCAGCAGUGGGGAAUAUUGGACAAUGGGGGCAACCCUGAUCCAGCCAUGCCGCGUGUGUGAAGAAGGCCCUCGGGUUGUAAAGCACUUUCAGUGAGGAAGAACGCCUGGUGGUUAAUACCCAUCAGGAAAGACAUCACUCACAGAAGAAGCACCGGCUAACUCCGUGCCAGCAGCCGCGGUAAUACGGAGGGUGCGAGCGUUAAUCGGAAUUACUGGGUGUAAAGCGCGCGUAGGUGGCUUGAUAAGCCGGUUGUGAAAGCCCCGGGCUCAACCUGGGAACGGCAUCCGGAACUGUCAAGCUAGAGUGCAGGAGAGGAAGGUAGAAUUCCCGGUGUAGCGGUGAAAUGCGUAGAGAUCGGGAGGAAUACCAGUGGCGAAGGCGGCCUUCUGGACUGACACUGACACUGAGGUGCGAAAGCGUGGGUAGCAAACAGGAUUAGAUACCCCAGUAGUC